rnacentral:ribozyme from 13 species
ACUUUUUUUUUUUUUUUUUUUUUUUUUUUUUUUUUUUUUUUUUUUUUUUUUUUUUUUUUCGGUGAAUCCGAUAUACACG